rnacentral:rRNA from 1 species
CCACGCCCGCUCAGAAACUACAAAUGAAUUGACGGGGCCCGCACAAGCGGAGGAGCAUGUGGUUUAAUUCGAUGAUACGCGAGGAACCUUACCUGGGCUCGAACGUAAGAUGACUGUAGGUGAAAGCUUACAUCUCUUCGGAGCAUUUUACGAGGUGCUGCAUGGUUGUCGUCAGCUCGUGCCGUGAGGUGUCGGGUUAAGUCCCAUAACGAGCGCAACCCCUACCUUUAGUUGCCAUCAGGUUAAGCUGGGGACUCUAAAGGAACUGCCUACGCAAGUAGUGAGGAAGGCGGGGAUGACGUCAAAUCAGCACGGCCCUUACGUCCAGGGCUACACACGUGCUACAAUGGCCGAUACAGAGGGCAGCUACCUGGUGACAGGAUGCAAAUCUCCAAAGUCGGUCUCAGUUCGGAUCGGAGUCUGCAACCCGACUCCGUGAAGUUGGAUUCGCUAGUAAUCGCGCAUCAGCCAUGGCGCGGUGAGUACGUUCCCGGGCCUU